CAGGGAAAAAAUGGACGGGAAGGGCACGACCGACGAGGUCAUGGAAGAACCGGAAGGGGAGGUCACGACCGACGAGGUCAGGGAAGAACCGGAAGGGGAGGUCACGACCGGAGGUCAGGGAAGAACCGGAAGGGGAGGUCACGACCGACGAGGUCAGGGAAGAACCGGAAGGGAGGUCACGACUGACGAGGUCAUGGAAGAACCGGAAGGGGAGGCCACGGCCGCGGAGGUCAAGGAAGAACCGGAAGGGGAGGUCACGACCAACGAGGUCAGGGAAGAACCGGAAGGGGAGGUCACGACCGACGAGGUCAGGGAAGAACCGGAAGGGGAGGUCGCUCAAGAGCCCGAAAAGGAGACCCAGGAAGUCGCCCAACAGGCCGAGGAGGAGACCCAGGAAGUCGCCCAACA